rfam:Picea glauca, whole genome shotgun sequence.
AAGGCAAUAGGUCUAGGUGGAGUUGGAAAAACUGUAACAAUGCCUAUAUCACAACAGAUCAGAUGAGAUCAUGAGUGACUGCAUGAGUUUUUCCUCUCCUCCCAGACCCAGUGGCCUU